CAACAGCUCAUUAAUGAGAGGUUGACAGUCCUGUGGGUGAAAACAGCUCAUUAAUGAGAGGUCGGCAGUCCUGUGGGUGAAAACAGCUCGUUGAUGAGAGGUCGGCAGUCCUGUGGGUGAAAACAGCUCAUUAAUGAGAGGUUGACAGUCCUGUGGGUGAAAACAGCUCAUUAAUGAGAGGUCGGCAGUCCUGUGGGUGAAAACAGCUCGUUGAUGAGAGGUCGGCAGUCCUGUGGGUGAAAACAGCUCAUUAAUGAGAGGUUGACAGUCCUGUGGGUGAAAACAGCUCAUUAAUGAGAGGUCGGCAGUCCUGUGGGUGAAAACAGCUCGUUGAUGAGAGGUCGGCAGUCCUGUGGGUGAAAACAGCUCAUUAAUGAGAGGUUGACAGUCCUGUGGGUGAAAACAGCUCAUUAAUGAGAGGUCGGCAGUCCUGUGGGUGAAAACAGCUCGUUGAUGAGAGGUCGGCAGUCCUGUGGGUGAAAACAGCUCAUUAAUGAGAGGUUGACAGUCCUGUGGGUGAAAACAGCUCAUUAAUGAGAGGUCGGCAGUCCUGUGGGUGAAAACAGCUCGUUGAUGAGAGGUCGGCAGUCCUGUGGGUGACAACAGCUCAUUAAUGAGAGGUUGACAGUCCUGUGGGUGAAAACAGCUCAUUGAUGAGAGGGUGGCAGUCCUGUGGGUGAAACAGCUCGUUGAUGAGAGGUCGGCAGUCCUGUGGGUGAAAACAGCUCGUUGAUGAGAGGUCGGCAGUCCUGUGGGUGACAACAGCUCAUUGAUGAGAGGUCGGCAGUCCUGUGGGUGAAAACAGCUCAUUAAUGAGAGGUUGACAGUCCUGUGGGUGAAAACAGCUCAUUAAUGAGAGGUCGGCAGUCCUGUGGGUGAAAACAGCUCGUUGAUGAGAGGUCGGCAGUCCUGUGGGUGAAAACAGCUCAUUGAUGAGAGGUCGGCAGUCCUGUGGGUGAAAACAGCUCGUUGAUGAGAGGUCGGCAGUCCUGUGGGUGAAAACAGCUCGGUGAUGAGGUCGGCAGUCCUGUGGGUGAAAACAGCUCGGUGAUGAGAGGUCGGCAGUCCUGUAGGUGAAAACAGCUCGGUGAUGAGAGGUCGGCAGUCCUGUGGGUGAAAACAGCUCGGUGAUGAGAGGUCGGCAGUCCUGUGGGUGACGACAGCUCGGUGAUGAGGUCGGCAGUCCUGUGGGUGAAAACAGCUCGGUGAUGAGAGGUCGGCAGUCCUGUGGGUGAAAACAGCUCGGUGAUGAGAGGUCGGCAGUCCUGUGGGUGACGACAGCUCGGUGAUGAGGUCGGCAGUCCUGUGGGUGACAACAGCUCAUUAAUGAGAGGUCGGCAGUCCUGUGGGUAACAACAGCUCGUUGAUGAGAGGUCGGCAGUCCUGUGGGUGAAAACAGCUCAUUGAUGAGAGGGUGGCAGUCCUGUGGGUGAAACAGCUCAUUGAUGAGAGGGUGGCAGUCCUGUGGGUGACAACAGCUCAUUGAUGAGAGGUCGGCAGUCCUGUGGGUGACAACAGCUCAUUGAGAGGUCGGCAGUCCUGUGGGUGACAACAGCUCAUUGAUGAGGUCGGCAGUCCUGUGGGUGAAAACAGCUCCUUGAUGAGAGGUCGGCAGUCCUGUG